UUGGAAACGAUAGCUAAUACCGCAUAACAGUCGACAUUGCAUGAUGUUGAUUUGAAAGGGGCAAUUGCUCCACUACCAGAUGGACCUGCGUUGUAUUAGCUAGUUGGUGAGGUAACGGCUCACCAAGGCGACGAUACAUAGCCGACCUGAGAGGGUGAUCGGCCACACUGGGACUGAGACACGGCCCAGACUCCUACGGGAGGCAGCAGUAGGGAAUCUUCGGCAAUGGACGGAAGUCUGACCGAGCAACGCCGCGUGAGUGAAGAAGGUUUUCGGAUCGUAAAGCUCUGUUGUAAGAGAAGAACGAGUGUGAGAGUGGAAAGUUCACACUGUGACGGUAACUUGCCAGAAAGGGACGGCUAACUACGUGCCAGCAGCCGCGGUAAUACGUAGGUCCCGAGCGUUAUCCGGAUUUAUUGGGCGUAAAGCGAGCGCAGGCGGUUAGAUAAGUCUGAAGUUAAAGGCUGUGGCUUAACCAUAGUACGCUUUGGAAACUGUUUAGCUUGAGUGCAGAAGGGGAGAGUGGAAUUCCAUGUGUAGCGGUGAAAUGCGUAGAUAUAUGGAGGAACACCGGUGGCGAAACGGCUCUCUGGUCUG
rnacentral:rRNA from 1 species